CCCCCUUCCUUUGAGAAGUUCCUUCCAGGUGGGAUCCUGUGGGGCUGUGUGCUCACCAAGCUCACCGCUCCCACAGCUAGCUCAGAAGACAGAUGUGACCCAAACUAACCAUACUGCGAUGAGGAUGAGCAAGGGAAAGUCAAGAGGCAACCUAGUGGAUCACAUUCUUCUCUUCCAUUAUGUGGCAACUGCCCUCCUUCUUCUGAAGAUCAGGGUCCUCACUGCUGGCUGGCUGGUGGGUGGCAGCUUCAAAAUCCCAUAUGAACAUCUGUUUUCUUAGACCACCCCUGCCAUUGUUGCAAGUUGAGUCCCUUGGAAGCAGACUCUGAGAUGGGAAUUAGCACAGAAGAAUUGAAUUGGCAACAAGAUUUUAUCUUAUUCACUGAUAUGCCACACAGAUUCUCCAAACUGUUUGAAGCCAGUAAGAGAGAAGGAAGAAAAGACGAUUCUAGGAUGACACCAGAUUUCUGGUUUUGAUAGCUGCAUUGAAGGAAGCUAGUGCUUCAUACCUACUUUCCUUGGGGGAAAAUGAAUGAAAAAGAGACUGAAUUCAAUCUUGAACAUGAUGAGUUUGAGAUGCCCAGAGCAUCCAAGAUAUUGAAAGUUGGAGAUGUUGAGAAUCCAUGGGAUGGACCAGACUGGAGCUGAAGAAGCCACUGGGAUUAGCACCCUGCAACGUUCAGAUGGUACAACUGAGGCUAUAUUGAGUAAGUGGUCUCACAACUUUGGUCUCAGGGCAGUCUAAGUCCUUGGAGUAGACAUGAUGGGACAGAAAGAACUACGAGGCAAAAAAGGCACUCUUUUCCAUGUCUAAUUCUACAACCUUAGACCACAUACAUUAGGAAUCAUUUUGUGAGCUGCUCUUGGAACUCACCAACCCCAAAUCAAAACAAAUGAGAAUUGCUGCCUGAAGAGUUAGUUGCCAUGUCAAGCCUACACAGCUCCAGGGGCAGGUUGCAAGCUGUUUACAGUCACUACUCGCUGCUGGCAUCUCCAGGCAGGCAUAGCUGUCCACAUAUUGUGCUGGCGCAUGUCACAUCGUAUCUGGGGUCUGAUUUGAGCAGCACACAUCCACAAUGGGAAAAUGAGGCUGGUCAGGUCCUACCCAUGGAGAUCAGAGUGAUCCAUGCCCACAUCUCCAGGUUUGAGCCGUGGUAGAAUCUGUGGCACCUGUCUUAGAAUUGAAAUUCCUUUAUGUGGCUUGGGAGUUGGGUGGGCUAGCUAGGGAGUUUGUCAUGAAGUUGCUUUUGCAUAGCAAGAAUACUACUUUUACUUAGAUUAUAUGUUUAUUUGGAAUGACUUUGAGGGUGGAGGCUAAUGGUUGUUUUGGGGGCAAAUGGCCCACUAAAGACACCCCUUAGUGCCAUCACUUGGGCCACCAUGUUGUUUUCAAAACCCGGCCAUGGCUUGGGGAGCUCAAUAACCAAUCUAUUAGCCAAAGUUAUAGACUUUUCAGGCUUCACAUACCUCUUGCCUUCCUUCUCACCCUCAGGGUACUUACCACAUCCAAUUCUUAGCAGGAUGCUUUCAUCAUUGAGUGGAGAAAUUGUGCCUCUGCAUGAGGAGAGCGUCUUCAUAAUGUUACAUAGCACUUAGGAUCCAAGUUCUUAUUCAAUGGGUGUGCUUGAUUUCUGAGCCUGAGACUUCCAUAACACCAUUGACACAGACUUGUGUUGAGAGUUUAUCAGACCCUCCACCUCCCAAUGCUCUUUGUUAUGAAGAAGGAUGCCAACUCUUCUCACCUGACAGCUGCCUCUAGAAAAUUCCUCUCCAAGCCUAUGUCUGUUUUCUAACCACUGACAACUACACCUGCUCUUUGGUACCUGGAUCUCCAUACAAUUGUAGCAUUAUAGAAGGGAGGCAACACUGUCUGGAUGUUGGAGGGC
rnacentral:lncRNA from 1 species